rnacentral:rRNA from 1 species
CAGCAGCCGCGGGAAUACGUAGGUGGCAAGCGUUGUCCGGAAUUAUUGGGCGUAAAGGGCUCGCAGGCGGUUUCUUAAGUCUGAUGUGAAAGCCCCCGGCUCAACCGGGGAGGGUCAUUGGAAACUGGGAAACUUGAGUGCAGAAGAGGAGAGUGGAAUUCCACGUGUAGCGGUGAAAUGCGUAGAGAUGUGGAGGAACACCAGUGGCGAAGGCGACUCUCUGGUCUGUAACUGACGCUGGGGAGCGAAAGCGUGGGGAGCGAACAGGAUUAGAUACCCCGGUAGUCCCUGUCUCUUAUAC